UUAAGUUAUUAAGGGCGCACGGUGGAUGCCUUGGCACUAGAAGCCGAUGAAGGACGUUACUAACGACGAUAUGCUUUGGGGAGCUGUAAGUAAGCUUUGAUCCAGAGAUUUCCGAAUGGGGAAACCCAGCAUGAGUUAUGUCAUGUUAUCGAUAUGUGAAUACAUAGCAUAUCAGAAGGCACACCCGGAGAACUGAAACAUCUUAGUACCCGGAGGAAGAGAAAGAAAAUUCGAUUCCCUUAGUAGCGGCGAGCGAAACGGGAAGAGCCCAAACCAACAAGCUUGCUUGUUGGGGUUGUAGGACACUCUAUACGGAGUUACAAAGGACGACAUUAGACGAAUCAUCUGGAAAGAUGAAUCAAAGAAGGUAAUAAUCCUGUAGUCGAAAAUGUUGUCUCUCUUGAGUGGAUCCUGAGUACGACGGAGCACGUGAAAUUCCGUCGGAAUCUGGGAGGACCAUCUCCUAAGGCUAAAUACUCUCUAGUGACCGAUAGUGAACCAGUACCGUGAGGGAAAGGUGAAAAGCACCCCGGAAGGGGAGUGAAAUAGAACCUGAAACCGUGUGCUUACAAGUAGUCAGAGCCCGUUAAUGGGUGAUGGCGUGCCUUUUGUAGAAUGAACCGGCGAGUUACGAUUUGAUGCAAGGUUAAGCAGUAAAUGUGGAGCCGUAGCGAAAGCGAGUCUGAAUAGGGCGUUUAGUAUUUGGUCGUAGACCCGAAACCAGGUGAUCUACCCUUGGUCAGGUUGAAGUUCAGGUAACACUGAAUGGAGGACCGAACCGACUUACGUUGAAAAGUGAGCGGAUGAACUGAGGGUAGCGGAGAAAUUCCAAUCGAACCUGGAGAUAGCUGGUUCUCUCCGAAAUAGCUUUAGGGCUAGCCUCAAGUGAUGAUUAUUGGAGGUAGAGCACUGUUUGGACGAGGGGCCCCUCUCGGGUUACCGAAUUCAGACAAACUCCGAAUGCUAAUUAAUUUAACUUGGGAGUCAGAACAUGGGUGAUAAGGUCCGUGUUCGAAAGGGAAACAGCCCAGACCACCAGCUAAGGUCCCAAAAUAUAUGUUAAGUGGAAAAGGAUGUGGCGUUGCCCAGACAACUAGGAUGUUGGCUUAGAAGCAGCCAUCAUUUAAAGAGUGCGUAAUAGCUCACUAGUCGAGUGACACUGCGCCGAAAAUGUACCGGGGCUAAACAUAUUACCGAAGCUGUGGAUUGUCCUUUGGACAAUGGUAGGAGAGCGUUCUAAGGGCGUUGAAGCAUGAUCGUAAGGACAUGUGGAGCGCUUAGAAGUGAGAAUGCCGGUGUGAGUAGCGAAAGACGGGUGAGAAUCCCGUCCACCGAUUGACUAAGGUUUCCAGAGGAAGGCUCGUCCGCUCUGGGUUAGUCGGGUCCUAAGCUGAGGCCGACAGGCGUAGGCGAUGGAUAACAGGUUGAUAUUCCUGUACCACCUAUAAUCGUUUUAAUCGAUGGGGGGACGCAGUAGGAUAGGCGAAGCGUGCGAUUGGAUUGCACGUCUAAGCAGUAAGGCUGAGUAUUAGGCAAAUCCGGUACUCAUUAAGGCUGAGCUGUGAUGGGGAGAAGACAUUGUGUCUUCGAGUCGUUGAUUUCACACUGCCGAGAAAAGCCUCUAGAUAGAAAAUAGGUGCCCGUACCGCAAACCGACACAGGUAGUCAAGAUGAGAAUUCUAAGGUGAGCGAGCGAACUCUCGUUAAGGAACUCGGCAAAAUGACCCCGUAACUUCGGGAGAAGGGGUGCUCUUUAGGGUUAACGCCCAGAAGAGCCGCAGUGAAUAGGCCCAAGCGACUGUUUAUCAAAAACACAGGUCUCUGCUAAACCGUAAGGUGAUGUAUAGGGGCUGACGCCUGCCCGGUGCUGGAAGGUUAAGAGGAGUGGUUAGCUUCUGCGAAGCUACGAAUCGAAGCCCCAGUAAACGGCGGCCGUAACUAUAACGGUCCUAAGGUAGCGAAAUUCCUUGUCGGGUAAGUUCCGACCCGCACGAAAGGCGUAACGAUUUGGGCACUGUCUCAACGAGAGACUCGGUGAAAUCAUAGUACCUGUGAAGAUGCAGGUUACCCGCGACAGGACGGAAAGACCCCGUGGAGCUUUACUGUAGCCUGAUAUUGAAAUUCGGCACAGCUUGUACAGGAUAGGUAGGAGCCUUUGAAACGUGAGCGCUAGCUUACGUGGAGGCGCUGGUGGGAUACUACCCUAGCUGUGUUGGCUUUCUAACCCGCACCACUUAUCGUGGUGGGAGACAGUGUCAGGCGGGCAGUUUGACUGGGGCGGUCGCCUCCUAAAAGGUAACGGAGGCGCUCAAAGGUUCCCUCAGAAUGGUUGGAAAUCAUUCAUAGAGUGUAAAGGCAUAAGGGAGCUUGACUGCGAGACCUACAAGUCGAGCAGGGUCGAAAGACGGACUUAGUGAUCCGGUGGUUCCGCAUGGAAGGGCCAUCGCUCAACGGAUAAAAGCUACCCCGGGGAUAACAGGCUUAUCUCCCCCAAGAGUUCACAUCGACGGGGAGGUUUGGCACCUCGAUGUCGGCUCAUCGCAUCCUGGGGCUGUAGUCGGUCCCAAGGGUUGGGCUGUUCGCCCAUUAAAGCGGUACGCGAGCUGGGUUCAGAACGUCGUGAGACAGUUCGGUCCCUAUCCGUCGUGGGCGUAGGAAAUUUGAGAGGAGCUGUCCUUAGUACGAGAGGACCGGGAUGGACAUACCUCUGGUGUACCAGUUGUCGUGCCAACGGCAUAGCUGGGUAGCUAUGUGUGGACGGGAUAAGUGCUGAAAGCAUCUAAGCAUGAAGCCCCCCUCAAGAUGAGAUUUCCCAACUUCGGUUAUAAGAUCCCUCAAAGAUGAUGAGGUUAAUAGGUUCGAGGUGGAAGCAUGGUGACAUGUGGAGCUGACGAAUACUAAUCGAUCGAAGACUUAAUCAA
rnacentral:rRNA from 1 species